UGAUGUGCUUUUUUCUGGACUUGGAAGAGGUCCUGACUGGGGGUUCCUCGCGUUCUUUCUCAGAUUCUUCCUUUGCCUCUAUUGGUGAACUGUCAGUUGCAGACUUGUCACUCUCUUCUUCAGGUUGGUCAGAUUGGUCAGCAGUUUCUGAUUCAGCCUCUGCUUGUGGUUCUGUUGCAGAUUCCUCUUCUGGUUCAUAUGUGUCAGUAGUUUCUUCACUGACUUCUGUUGGAGCCUCUGUAGUGUUGGUGUCAAAAUUGUACUGCUGGAGUAACGUAUCAGGGAAAUUCCGGUGGGUACUUUUUAUGUAUACAACAAAUUGGUGUAGGUGGCUUUCCAAGUGCUGUAAAUAGCUCUAAAACUAAUCGUUUUCCCUUUGCUGAGCUUCAACACAUUGAGUGAUGCUGGUGCUGAGUGCUUGUAUUCUAUGUUUUAACCCAAUAGCUCGUCUCACCCCUGUUACAGCAGCUGGUUCAGAUGUGGCCCCAACAACUUCACCAGUAAUUCUCUUGAUGGUGCGUACAGUAAGGGCACAAUCAUUCUUGACAUGUUCAUCUUUUGCAUCAAGACGAACUCCCGAUACCACACAGAUGCUAGUGAUGAGUGAAGGAAAUAGCAAGGCAGCUGCUUUGUGAUUUUUCAUUGCACAGUCCCGAAUUUCUUUUUUGAUAAUGCUUCCCACAUCUAUGGAAAACCCUAUAACAAUAACAUACAACAAUACCAACCUUUCUUGUGAAACAGUAGUAGUGUGGGCGGUUGGUAUAAGUCUGGAUUUCAAAAAUUUUACCCACACCUUGGCAAUGGGUUUUAAAUCGAUCUUGUUAAUUACACGCCCUUCCUCAUUAGCCCAUGAAGCACCCUCUACUAUAAGUGUCGUGAAAAUUUUGUUCCAUCGUUGUGAGGUUAAUUUGUCAAGCAAUUGGGCAUACUCGUAAUUAAUUUCAGUAGGUAAAUUAUAGAAAGCAUUUAUAACUUGAGAAUCUAAUAGACCAAGCGAGUUUCUUACCCAUAUGUUGUGCUGACUAGAGCUUACCAAAUUGGCGUAAAAUUCUUUCACUACUGGCAACACCGGGUCUCGAGGGUGGUUACAAAACUCUAGCCACCCGCGCUUUGCUGCAAUAUUGUACAAUGAUUACACAAUUCCUGUGGGUUGAGGUGGAAACUGAAAUCCUUUUUCUUCUAGAAUCUUGUGCGGUUCAAUGAAUUCUUCAUAUUUUUCUUCCGUAUGGUAACUUUGGAAGCGUGAAUGAUCUUUUAAUCGGCUGGCUAUCCUUUUGUACCUUGGCAUUGCUAUAGCAGUAAGAAUUCGAUGGUAAUAUGUCCAGGAGUAAAAUGAGAAGAAGAAGUUAAGAAGUAUUUGAGUCGUGACUGUGAAGGAGAGGGAAAAUAGUGUCAGAGGUCAUUAAGCACAAUAACUCCCUUAUAUAGGGUGAAUUAAAUAAAAACAAAUUCGGUAAAAAGAGAUAAAUUAAGGAAGAAUAUUUUUCAAAUUCAUUAAGCAUAUCUCAUAAAAAUAGGCAAGAGAAAUUAGUGCAUUAAUUUCAGAGGUAUUCUUCCAUAAUUUCUAUCCAAAUCCAUUCACCCAUCUGUCACAUAUUAUUUCCAACGAUAAGUGAGAGGCUCCAUCUUUAAGUUGCUGUAACAGUAAUAUUGGUUGCUGCAGCACCCAAUUGUUUGCUCUAGCAACGGUUACAUACUCUCCUCCAAUAGCUACUGACUGUUACCAGUACAGCCCCAAUUGUUAGUAUGGAAUCCAUUUGUCACAUACAUUUCUCUUGAGAAAUUCAAAAAUCAAUCAUAAUUUAAAGAUAAAAUCAAUCCUAAAAAAGAUAAAAAAAUAAAAUAAAA
rnacentral:lncRNA from 1 species